UACAGAGGCCGCAAGCGUUAUCCGGAAUCACUGGGCGUAAAGGGUGUGUAGGCGGUAUUGUUAGUCGUCUGUUACAGCCCGCGGCUUAACCGCGGAAUCGCAGACGAAACGGCAACACUAGAGGAUGAGAGGGGUGAAUGGAACUCAUGGAGUAGGGGUGAAAUCCGUUGAUAUCAUGGGGAACACCAAAAGCGAAGGCAAUUCACUGGAUCACUCCUGACGCUGAAACACGAAAGCGUAGGUAGCGAAUGGG
rnacentral:rRNA from 1 species